AAUGUCCUAAAUAAAAAUUUAGGACUUUAAUUAGUUAAUUAGGCCUAAAAGUUUAAUAAUAUAAAUAUUUUGAUAUUUUUUAUUUUUACCAAUAUUUAUAAUUUUAUAAUUUAAAUUUUAUUAUUUAUUUACUAGUAAUUUUAAAAAAUUAAAAUGGGGAAAUGGGUAGGGGAUGGGGAUUCCACCUCAUCCCCGUCCCCUCC
rnacentral:lncRNA from 1 species